UGGGGAAUAUUGGACAAUGGGCCAAAGCCUGAUCCAGCCAUGCCGCGUGUGUGAAGAAGGUCUUCGGAUUGUAAAGCACUUUAAGUUGGGAGGAAGGGCAGUAAGCGAAUACCUUGCUGUUUUGACGUUACCGACAGAAUAAGCACCGGCUAACUCUGUGCCAGCAGCCGCGGUAAUACAGAGGGUGCAAGCGUUAAUCGGAAUUACUGGGCGUAAAGCGCGCGUAGGUGGUUCGUUAAGUUGAAUGUGAAAGCCCCGGGCUCAACCUGGGAACUGCAUCCAAAACUGGCGAGCUAGAGUAGGGCAGAGGGUGGUGGAAUUUCCUGUGUAGCGGUGAAAUGCGUAGAUAUAGGAAGGAACACCAGUGGCGAAGGCGACCACCUGGGCUCAUACUGACACUGAGGUGCGAAAGCGUGGGGAGCAAACAGG
rnacentral:rRNA from 1 species